UGCAAGUCUGUGUUUGUGAUGGAGGCC
rnacentral:piRNA from 1 species